rnacentral:lncRNA from 1 species
UUAUUAAUAAAAUAAUAUAUUUAUAUUAUUAAAAUAUAUAUUAUUUUAUGUACAUAAGAAUGCUUGAGUACGUAAAAGAACUCCAAAUGAUAGACUCCCAAGACUUGGUAGUUGGUACUGGUAUGGGCAUGACAUAAACUCUCUUCUGCUAUAUUGGCAGACAUUUGACAAAUGUAUCUUGCUUGUCCUCGUGGAUGAGCUCGAUGAUGAGGCUAGUGAUCUUGCGAGUAGAUUGCUAAUAGAUCAUGCCCUCGAAGAUAGUGUGGGUUUUCAGAGCGGAGUCAGAUCCAAGCCACGAAUAUGUGAGCAGACGUCGAUACGUUCAAUUCGAAUAAGGUCUGAGCUCUCUGAGAGCCUCUUGAGCUCUGCCACAGCAACAGAAAGGAAGAAAAAAGAGCGAGUUCUGAAGAAAAAGAACAAAUUAAAGAAGAACGAAUGCUAAUACAGAAAGGGAUCGAAGAUUUUAGGAAGAGCUAGCCC